CGGGGCGUAGCGCAGCUGGACAGCGCGCUUGGUUCGGGACCAAGAGGCCGGUGGUUCAAAUCCACUCGCCCCGA
rnacentral:tRNA from 1 species